rnacentral:rRNA from 1 species
ACGGGGUGCAGCAGGCGCGAAACCUCCACAAUGCGCGAAAGCGUGAUGGGGUUAUCCCGAGUGCCGUCCGAUGAGGAUGGCUUUUUAUCGAUGUAAGGAUUCGAUAGAAUAAAGGGGGGGCAAGACUGGUGUCAGCCGCCGCGGUAAUACCAGCCCCCUGAGUGGUAAGGACGAUUAUUUGGCCUAAAGCGUUCGUAGCCGGCUUAUCAAGUCUUUUGUUAAAUCCAACGAUUCAAUCGUUGGGCCGCAAAAGAUACUGUUAUGCUAGAGGACGGGAGAGGUCGACGGUAGUCCAGGGGUAGGGGUGAAAUCCUAUAAUCCUUGGAGGACCACCAGUGGCGAAGGCGGUCGACUAGAACGUGCCUGACGGUGAGGGACGAAAGCUGGGGGAGCGAACCGGAUUAGAUACCCGGGUAGUCCCAGCUGUAAACGAUGCGGGCUAGGUGUUGGGGCAGCCACGAGCUGCUCCAGUGCCGCAGAGAAGUUGUUAAGCCCGCCGCCUGGGGAGUACGGCCGCAAGGCUGAAACUUAAAGGAAUUGGCGGGGGAGCACCACAAGGGGUGAAGGCUGCGGUUUAAUUGGAGUCAACGCCGGGAACCUUACCGGGGCUGACAGCAGAGUGAAGGCCAGACUGAAGAUCUUGCCAGACAAGCUGAGAGGAGGUGCAUGGCCGUCGCCAGUUCGUGCCGUGAGGUGUCCUGUUAAGUCAGGCAACGAACGAGACCCCCGCUUUUAGUUGCCAGCGGAUUCCAACGGAAUGCCGG